AUUGAACGCUGGCGGCAGGCCUAACACAUGCAAGUCGAACGGUAACAGGAAACAGCUUGCUGUUUCGCUGACGAGUGGCGGACGGGUGAGUAAUGUCUGGGAAACUGCCUGAUGGAGGGGGAUAACUACUGGAAACGGUAGCUAAUACCGCAUAACGUCGCAAGACCAAAGAGGGGGACCUUCGGGCCUCUUGCCAUCGGAUGUGCCCAGAUGGGAUUAGCCAGUAGGUGGGGUAACGGCUCACCUAGGCGACGAUCCCUAGCUGGUCUGAGAGGAUGACCAGCCACACUGGAACUGAGACACGGUCCAGACUCCUACGGGAGGCAGCAGUGGGGAAUAUUGCACAAUGGGCGCAAGCCUGAUGCAGCCAUGCCGCGUGUAUGAAGAAGACCUUCAGGUUGUAAAGUACUUUCAGCGGGGAGGAAGGGAGUAAAGUCAAUACCUUUGCUCAUUGACGUUACCCGCAGAAGAAGCACCGGCUAACUCCGUGCCAGCAGCCGCCGUAA
rnacentral:rRNA from 1 species